rnacentral:rRNA from 1 species
UACGUAGGGUGCAAGCGUUGUCCGGAAUUAUUGGGCGUAAAGAGCUCGUAGGCGGCCAGACAGGUCCGUUGUGAAAACUCGAGGCUCAACCUCGAGACGUCGACGGAAACCGUCUGGCUAGAGUCCGGAAGAGGAGUGUGGAAUUCCUGGUGUAGCGGUGAAAUGCGCAGAUAUCAGGAAGAACACCUAUGGCGAAGGCAGCACUCUGGGACGGUACUGACGCUGAGACGCGAAAGCGUGGGGAGCGAACAGG